CCUGGCGCCGAUCUCCGAUCGGUCAUCCAGAGCGCGCGCCACCAUCGCCAAGGCCAGGUCUCCUCUCUACUACCCAUUACUAUACUGGCCUAAAGGGCGAUGGCGACGGAUGGCACGCGAGCAGGUGCAGACGCCAGAAACAACACAGA
rnacentral:lncRNA from 1 species